rnacentral:lncRNA from 1 species
GGAUGGGGAGAGAGCGGCCUGAGAAGAGGAGGUGGCUAGAAAGAGGAAGGGAGGAAGAACAAGACUGAGGAGUCUUUUAAGAGCGUGAAACCUGAGGAGCAAAUGUCCCAGAAGGUUUGAGGAAAGGUUCACUGGGAAAUGCACUGCAGGAAACCCCUGCAUGGCCUCUCAGGAAACCCUACCAUGGAGAUCACAUUAGGCCUGAAAAUAUUUGCAGUUACAUAUGUUUCUUUGAAUGCAAGACCAAGUGGAGGCCAUCUUCCAGGGAGGGCUGGUCACACCAACUGCAAGCACAAUUUUAAUCUGUCAUCCACAAAGCAUCCUAGAGGAUGGCGCCUGCAUACCCUUCCUGCCUUGUUUCC